rnacentral:rRNA from 1 species
UACGGAGGGGGCUAGCGCUGUUCGGAAUUACUGGGCGUAAAGCGCGCGUAGGCGGACCUGCAAGUCGGGGGUGAAAGCCCGAGGCUCAACCUCGGAACUGCCUUCGAUACUGCGGGUCUCGAGUCCGGGAGAGGUGAGUGGAAUUCCUAGUGUAGAGGUGAAAUUCGUAGAUAUUAGGAAGAGCACCAGUGGCGAAGGCGGCUCACUGGCCCGGUACUGACGCUGAGGCGCGAAAGCGUGGGGAGCAAACAGG